CUACGGGGGGCACCAGUAAGGAAUAUUGCGCAAUGGAGGCAACUCUGACGCAGCCAUGCCGCGUGCAGGACUGAAGGCCUUAUGGGUCGUAAACUGCUUUUAUUUAGGAAUAAACUUUCGUACGUGUACGAGACUGAAGGUACUAAAUGAAUAAGCACCGGCUAACUCCGUGCCAGCAGCCGCGGUAAUACGGAGGGUGCAAGCGUUAUCCGGAUUUAUUGGGUUUAAAGGGUGCGCAGGCGGACUAUUAAGUCAGAGGUGAAAUCCCGGAGCUCAACGUCGGAACUGCCUUUGAUACUGGUAGUCUUGAAUACGGUUGAAGUAGGCGGAAUGUAGCAUGUAGCGGUGAAAUGCAUAGAGAUGCUACAGAACACCGAUCGCGAAGGCAGCUUACUAAGCCGAUAUUGACGCUCAGGCACGAAAGCGUGGGGAGCGAACAGGGUUAGAUACCCUAGUAGUC
rnacentral:rRNA from 1 species